rnacentral:rRNA from 1 species
GGCUCAGGACGAACGCUGGCGGCGCGCCUAAUACAUGCAAGUCGAGCGAGAAGGUGUAGCAAUACACUUGUAAAGCGGCGAACGGGUGAGGAAUGCAUGGGUAACCUACCCUCGAGUGGGGAAUAACUAGCCGAAAGGUUAGCUAAUACCGCAUACGUUUCCGGGACUUCGGUUCCGGAAAGAAAGCAAUACCGUGGGUAUUGCGCUCAUGGAUGGGCUCAUGUCCUAUCAGCUUGUUGGUGAGGUAACGGCUCACCAAGGCUUCGACGGGUAGCUGGUCUGAGAGGACGAUCAGCCACACUGGCACUGCGACACGGGCCAGACUCCUACGGGAGACAGCAGUAAGGGAUAUUGCGCAAUGGGCGACAGCCUGACGCAGCGACGCCGCGUGGGGGAUGAAGGUCUUCGGAUUGUAAACUCCUUCUAUAGGGGAAGAUGAUGUGGGUAACCACUUGGGCGGUACCCUAUGAAUAAGCCACGGCUAACUCUGUGCCAGCAGCCGCGGUAAGACAGAGGUGGCAAGCGUUGUUCGGAAUUACUGGGCUUAAAGGGCGCGUAGGUGGUGGCAUAAGUCCGAGGUGGAAGGCUGAGGCUUAACCUCAGAAUUGCCUUGGAAACUGUAUCACUUGAGUCAGCAAGGGGAUGGCGGAAUUCCCGGUGUAGCGGUGAAAUGCGUAGAUA